ACAUGAUCAACUUACCCUAUGGAGAAAUAUAACCUCGGGAAACUGAGGAUAAUAUUUCAUAGUUGAAUAGGCUUGGAAAAGUUUUUCAAUGAAAGGGAUAAGAAAAAUGGUUCUUAUCUGCCAUAGGAUAGGAUCGUGGUCGAUUAUGGUUGUUGGUGAGGUAACGGCUCACCAAGCCGAUAAUCGAUAGGGGCCGUGAGAGCGGGAGCCCCAAGAUGGGUACUGAGACAGCGACCCAGGCCUUACGAGGCGCAGCAGGUACGAAACCUCCGCAAUACACGAAAGUGUGACGGGGUUACCCAAAGUGUUCUUAUUGAACUGUGGCAGGUGAGUAAUGUCCCCUGCUAGAAAGGAGAGGGCAAGGCUGGUGCCAGCCGCCGCGGUAAAACCAGCUCUUCAAGUGGUCGGGAUAAUUAUUGGGCUUAAAGUGUCCGUAGCCGGUUUAGUAAGUUCCUGGUAAAAUCAGGUAGCUUAACUAUCUGUAUGCUAGGAAUACUGCUAUACUAGAGGGCGGGAGAGGUCUGAGGUACUACAGGGGUAGGGGUGAAAUCUUAUAAUCCUUGUAGGACCACCAGUGGCGAAGGCGUCAGACUGGAACGCGCCUGACGGUGAGGGACGAAAGCCAGGGGAGCGAACCGGAUUAGAUACCCGGGUAGUCCUGGCCGUAAACGAUGCAUACUAGGUGAUGGUACGGCCAUGAGCCGUGUCAGUGCCGUAGGGAAACCGUUAAGUGCGCCGCCUGGGAAGUACGGUCGCAAGGCUAAAACUUAAAGGAAUUGGCGGGGAGCACCACAAGGGGUGAAGCCUGCGGUUC
rnacentral:rRNA from 1 species